UAAGACCUCAAAUCAGGUGGGACUACCUGCUGAACUUAAGCAUAUCAAUAAGCAGAGGAAAAGAAACUAACCAGGAUUCCCCUAGUAAUGGCGAGUGAAGAGGGAAAAGCCCAAAUUUGUAAUCUGGCUCUUUUUAGAGGAGUCUGAGUUGUAACUUUGAGAACUGUUUUCAGUGCUGGACCAUGUACAAGUCUGUUGAAAAACAGCAUCAUUGAGGGUGAUAAUCCCGUUCAUGAUAUGGACUACCAAGUGCAAUAUGAUACAGUCUCUAAGAGUCGAGUUGUUUGGGAAUGCAGCUCAAAAAGGGUGGUAAAUUCCAUCUAAGGCUAAAUAUUGAUGAGAGACCGAUAGCAAACAAGUACCGUGAGGGAAAGAUGAAAAGAACUUUGGAAAGAGAGUUAACAGUACGUGAAAUUGUUAAAAGGGAAACAAUUGAAGUUAGUCUUGUUAUUAUUGGUUCAGCUUUAAAUAGUGUAUUCCAAUUUUUAACAGAUCAACAUCAAUUCUUGGGUGUUGGAUAAGGGUCUUGUGAAAUGUAGCAGCUUUUUUGCUGUGUUAUAGUCUGAAACUUUGAUACAGUGCCUAGGAUUGAGGAAUGCAGUGAGC
rnacentral:rRNA from 1 species